rnacentral:rRNA from 1 species
UGCAGUCGAACGCGUUGGCCCAAUUGAUUGAUGGUGCUUGCACCUGAUUGAUUUUGGUCGCCAACGAGUGGCGGACGGGUGAGUAACACGUAGGUAACCUGCCCAGAAGCGGGGGACAACAUUUGGAAACAGAUGCUAAUACCGCAUAACAGCGUUGUUCGCAUGAACAACGCUUAAAAGAUGGCUUCUCGCUAUCACUUCUGGAUGGACCUGCGGUGCAUUAGCUUGUUGGUGGGGUAACGGCCUACCAAGGCGAUGAUGCAUAGCCGAGUUGAGAGACUGAUCGGCCACAAUGGGACUGAGACACGGCCCAUACUCCUACGGGAGGCAGCAGUAGGGAAUCUUCCACAAUGGGCGCAAGCCUGAUGGAGCAACACCGCGUGAGUGAAGAAGGGUUUCGGCUCGUAAAGCUCUGUUGUUAAAGAAGAACACGUAUGAGAGUAACUGUUCAUACGUUGACGGUAUUUAACCAGAAAGUCACGGCUAACUACGUGCCAGCAGCCGCGGUAAUACGUAGGUGGCAAGCGUUAUCCGGAUUUAUUGGGCGUAAAGAGAGUGCAGGCGGUUUUCUAAGUCUGAUGUGAAAGCCUUCGGCUUAACCGGAGAAGUGCAUCGGAAACUGGAUAACUUGAGUGCAGAAGAGGGUAGUGGAACUCCAUGUGUAGCGGUGGAAUGCGUAGAUAUAUGGAAGAACACCAGUGGCGAAGGCGGCUACCUGGUCUGCAACUGACGCUGAGACUCGAAAGCAUGGGUAGCGAACAGGAUUAGAUACCCUGGUAGUCCAUGCCGUAAACGAUGAGUGCUAGGUGUUGGAGGGUUUCCGCCCUUCAGUGCCGGAGCUAACGCAUUAAGCACUCCGCCUGGGGAGUACGACCGCAAGGUUGAAACUCAAAGGAAUUGACGGGGGCCCGCACAAGCGGUGGAGCAUGUGGUUUAAUUCGAAGCUACGCGAAGAACCUUACCAGGUCUUGACAUCUUGCGCCAACCCUAGAGAUAGGGCGUUUCCUUCGGGAACGCAAUGACAGGUGGUGCAUGGUCGUCGUCAGCUCGUGUCGUGAGAUGUUGGGUUAAGUCCCGCAACGAGCGCAACCCUUGUUACUAGUUGCCAGCAUUAAGUUGGGCACUCUAGUGAGACUGCCGGUGACAAACCGGAGGAAGGUGGGGACGACGUCAGAUCAUCAUGCCCCUUAUGACCUGGGCUACACACGUGCUACAAUGGACGGUACAACGAGUCGCGAACUCGCGAGGGCAAGCAAAUCUCUUAAAACCGUUCUCAGUUCGGACUGCAGGCUGCAACUCGCCUGCACGAAGUCGGAAUCGCUAGUAAUCGCGGAUCAGCAUGCCGCGGUGAAUACGUUCCCGGGCCUUGUACACACCGCCCGUCACACCAUGAGAGUUUGUAACACCCAAAGUCGGUGGGGUAACCUUUUAGGAGCCAGCCGCCUA